UUAAGCGACUAAGCGUACACGGUGGAUGCCCUGGCAGUCAGAGGCGAUGAAGGACGUGCUAAUCUGCGAAAAGCGUCGGUAAGGUGAUAUGAACCGUUAUAACCGGCGAUGUCCGAAUGGGGAAACCCAGUGUGAUUCGUCACACUAUCGUUAACUGAAUACAUAGGUUAACGAGGCGAACCGGGGGAACUGAAACAUCUAAGUACCCCGAGGAAAAGAAAUCAACCGAGAUUCCCCCAGUAGCGGCGAGCGAACGGGGAGCAGCCCAGAGUCUGAAUCAGCUUGUGUGUUAGUGGAACGGUCUGGAAAGUCCGACGGUACAGGGUGAUAGUCCCGUACACCAAAAUGCACAGGCUGUGAACUCGAAGAGUAGGGCGGGACACGUGGUAUCCUGUCUGAAUAUGGGGGGACCAUCCUCCAAGGCUAAAUACUCCUGACUGACCGAUAGUGAACCAGUACCGUGAGGGAAAGGCGAAAAGAACCCCGGCGAGGGGAGUGAAAAAGAACCUGAAACCGUGUACGUACAAGCAGUGGGAGCACCUUCGGGUGUGACUGCGUACCUUUUGUAUAAUGGGUCAGCGACUUAUAUUCUGUAGCAAGGUUAACCGUAUAGGGGAGCCGCAGGGAAACCGAGUCUUAACUGGGCGUUAAGUUGCAGGGUAUAGACCCGAAACCCGGUGAUCUAGCCAUGGGCAGGUUGAAGGUUGGGUAACACUAACUGGAGGACCGAACCGACUAAUGUUGAAAAAUUAGCGGAUGACUUGUGGCUGGGGGUGAAAGGCCAAUCAAACCGGGAGAUAGCUGGUUCUCCCCGAAAGCUAUUUAGGUAGCGCCUCGUGAAUUCAUCUUCGGGGGUAGAGCACUGUUUCGGCUAGGGGGUCAUCCCGACUUACCAACCCGAUGCAAACUACGAAUACCGAAAAAUGUUAUCACGGGAGACACACGGCGGGUGCUAACGUCCGUCGUGAAGAGGGAAACAACCCAGACCGCCAGCUAAGGUCCCAAAGUCAUGGUUAAGUGGGAAACGAUGUGGGAAGGCACAGACAGCCAGGAUGUUGGCUUAGAAGCAGCCAUCAUUUAAAGAAAGCGUAAUAGCUCACUGGUCGAGUCGGCCUGCGCGGAAGAUGUAACGGGGCUAAACCAUGCACCGAAGCUGCGGCAGCGACACUAUGUGUUGUUGGGUAGGGGAGCGUUCUGUAAGCCUGCGAAGGUGUGCUGUGAGGCAUGCUGGAGGUAUCAGAAGUGCGAAUGCUGACAUAAGUAACGAUAAAGCGGGUGAAAAGCCCGCUCGCCGGAAGACCAAGGGUUCCUGUCCAACGUUAAUCGGGGCAGGGUGAGUCGACCCCUAAGGCGAGGCCGAAAGGCGUAGUCGAUGGGAAACAGGUUAAUAUUCCUGUACUUGGUGUUACUGCGAAGGGGGGACGGAGAAGGCUAUGUUAGCCGGGCGACGGUUGUCCCGGUUUAAGCAUGUAGGCUGAUUGUCCAGGCAAAUCCGGAUAAUCAAGGCUGAGGUGUGAUGACGAGGCACUACGGUGCUGAAGUAACAAAUGCCCUGCUUCCAGGAAAAGCCUCUAAGCAUCAGGUAACAUCAAAUCGUACCCCAAACCGACACAGGUGGUCAGGUAGAGAAUACCAAGGCGCUUGAGAGAACUCGGGUGAAGGAACUAGGCAAAAUGGUGCCGUAACUUCGGGAGAAGGCACGCUGGUGUGUAGGUGAAGCCCCUGCGGGUGGAGCUGAGACCAGUCGAAGAUACCAGCUGGCUGCAACUGUUUAUUAAAAACACAGCACUGUGCAAACACGAAAGUGGACGUAUACGGUGUGACGCCUGCCCGGUGCCGGAAGGUUAAUUGAUGGGGUUAUCCGUAAGGAGAAGCUCUUGAUCGAAGCCCCGGUAAACGGCGGCCGUAACUAUAACGGUCCUAAGGUAGCGAAAUUCCUUGUCGGGUAAGUUCCGACCUGCACGAAUGGCGUAAUGAUGGCCAGGCUGUCUCCACCCGAGACUCAGUGAAAUUGAACUCGCUGUGAAGAUGCAGUGUACCCGCGGCAAGACGGAAAGACCCCGUGAACCUUUACUAUAGCUUGACACUGAACAUUGAGCCUUGAUGUGUAGGAUAGGUGGGAGGCUUUGAAGCGUGGACGCCAGUCUGCGUGGAGCCAACCUUGAAAUACCACCCUUUAAUGUUUGAUGUUCUAACGUUGGCCCCUGACCGGGGUUGCGGACAGUGUCUGGUGGGUAGUUUGACUGGGGCGGUCUCCUCCCAAAGCGUAACGGAGGAGCACGAAGGUUAGCUAAUCCUGGUCGGACAUCAGGAGGUUAGUGCAAUGGCAUAAGCUAGCUUGACUGCGAGCGUGACGGCGCGAGCAGGUGCGAAAGCAGGUCAUAGUGAUCCGGUGGUUCUGAAUGGAAGGGCCAUCGCUCAACGGAUAAAAGGUACUCCGGGGAUAACAGGCUGAUACCGCCCAAGAGUUCAUAUCGACGGCGGUGUUUGGCACCUCGAUGUCGGCUCAUCACAUCCUGGGGCUGAAGUAGGUCCCAAGGGUAUGGCUGUUCGCCAUUUAAAGUGGUACGCGAGCUGGGUUUAGAACGUCGUGAGACAGUUCGGUCCCUAUCUGCCGUGGGCGCUGGAGAAUUGAGGGGGGCUGCUCCUAGUACGAGAGGACCGGAGUGGACGCAUCACUGGUGUUCGGGUUGUCAUGCCAAUGGCACUGCCCGGUAGCUAAAUGCGGAAGAGAUAAGUGCUGAAAGCAUCUAAGCACGAAACUUGCCCCGAGAUGAGUUCUCCCUGAGACUUUAAGUCUCCUGAAGGAACGUUAAAGACGAUGACGUUGAUAGGCCGGGUGUGUAAGCGCAGCGAUGCGUUGAGCUAACCGGUACUAAUGAACCGUGAGGCUUAACCUU
rnacentral:rRNA from 1 species